ensembl:miRNA
CCCCCCCCUGCCUGCCCAGUGUUCAGACUACCUGUUCAUCCGGCUACAGCUGAACAGUAGUCUGCACAUUGGUUAGGCUGGGCUGGGACACGCACAC